AACGUAGGAGGCAAGCGUUAUCCGGAUUUACUGGGCGUAAAGGGCGUGCAGGUGGUGGUCUAAGUGGUGCGUGAAAGCGCUCGGCUCAACCGGGCGAGGGCGUGCCAAACUGGGUCACUAGAAACAGGCAGAGGAAAGUGGAAUUCGGGGUGUAGUGGUGAAAUGCGUAGAGAUCCGGAAGAACACCGGUGGCGAAGGCGGCCUGCUGGGCAGUUGCUGACACUGAGGCGCGACAGCGUGGGGAGCAAACAGG
rnacentral:rRNA from 1 species